GAUGAACGCUGGCGGCGUGCCUAAUACAUGCAAGUCGAGCGAACAGACGAGGAGCUUGCUCCUCUGACGUUAGCGGCGGACGGGUGAGUAACACGUGGAUAACCUACCUAUAAGACUGGGAUAACUUCGGGAUACCGGAGCUAAUACCGGAUAAUAUAUUGAACCGCAUGGUUCAAUAGUGAAAGACGGUUUUGCUGUCCCUUAUAGAUGGAUCCGCGCCGCAUUAGCUAGUUGGUAAGGUAACGGCUUACCAAGGCAACGAUGCGUAGCCGACCUGAGAGGGUGAUCGGCCACACUGGAACUGAGACACGGUCCAGACUCCUACGGGAGGCAGCAGUAGGGAAUCUUCCGCAAUGGGCGAAAGCCUGACGCAGCAACGCCGCGUGAGUGAUGAAGGUCUUCGGAUCGUAAAGCUCUGUUAUUAGGGAAGAACAAAUGUGUAAGUAACUAUGCACGUCUUGACGGUACCUAAUCAGAAAGCCACGGCUAACUACGUG
rnacentral:rRNA from 1 species